AGCGUUUAUAGUAAAAUUUUAUUAUGCUUGCUUUCCACGUAAGAGUUCCGUACGGUUUCGGUAAGCGCUU
rnacentral:tRNA from 1 species